UGGGGAAUUUUGGACAAUGGGCGCAAGCCUGAUCCAGCCAUGCCGCGUGUCUGAAGAAGGCCUUCGGGUUGUAAAGGACUUUUGUCAGGGAAGAAAAGGACAGGGUUAAUACCUCUGUUUGAUGACGGUACCUGAAGAAUAAGCACCGGCUAACUACGUGCCAGCAGCCGCGGUAAUACGUAGGGUGCGAGCGUUAAUCGGAAUUACUGGGCGUAAAGCGAGCGCAGACGGUUACUUAAGCAGGAUGUGAAAUCCCCGGGCUCAACCUGGGAACUGCGUUCUGAACUGGGUGACUAGAGUGUGUCAGAGGGAGGUAGAAUUCCACGUGUAGCAGUGAAAUGCGUAGAGAUGUGGAGGAAUACCGAUGGCGAAGGCAGCCUCCUGGGAUAACACUGACGUUCAUGCUCGAAAGCGUGGGUAGCAAACAGGAUUAGAUACCCUGGUAGUCCACGCCCUAAACGAUGUCAAUUAGCUGUUGGGCAACUUGAUUGCUUAGUAGCGUAGCUACGCGUGAAAUUGACCGCCUGGGGAGUACGGUCGCAGAUUA
rnacentral:rRNA from 1 species